rnacentral:rRNA from 1 species
AGAGUUUGAUCAUGGCUCAGAUUGAACGCUGGCGGCAGGCCUAACACAUGCAAGUCGAGCGGUAGCACAGAGAGCUUGCUCUCGGGUGACGAGCGGCGGACGGGUGAGUAAUGUCUGGGAAACUGCCUGAUGGAGGGGGAUAACUACUGGAAACGGUAGCUAAUACCGCAUAAUGUCGCAAGACCAAAGUGGGGGACCUUCGGGCCUCAUGCCAUCAGAUGUGCCCAGAUGGGAUUAGCUAGUAGGUGGGGUAACGGCUCACCUAGGCGACGAUCCCUAGCUGGUCUGAGAGGAUGACCAGCCACACUGGAACUGAGACACGGUCCAGACUCCUACGGGAGGCAGCAGUGGGGAAUAUUGCACAAUGGGCGCAAGCCUGAUGCAGCCAUGCCGCGUGUGUGAAGAAGGCCUUCGGGUUGUAAAGCACUUUCAGCGGGGAGGAAGGCGNNNNNNNNNNNNNNNNNNNNNNNNNCGAUUGACGUUACCCGCAGAAGAAGCACCGGCUAACUCCGUGCCAGCAGCCGCGGUAAUACGGAGGGUGCAAGCGUUAAUCGGAAUUACUGGGCGUAAAGCGCACGCAGGCGGUCUGUCAAGUCGGAUGUGAAAUCCCCGGGCUCAACCUGGGAACUGCAUUCGAAACUGGCAGGCUAGAGUCUUGUAGAGGGGGGUAGAAUUCCAGGUGUAGCGGUGAAAUGCGUAGAGAUCUGGAGGAAUACCGGUGGCGAAGGCGGCCCCCUGGACAAAGACUGACGCUCAGGUGCGAAAGCGUGGGGAGCAAACAGGAUUAGAUACCCUGGUAGUCCACGCCGUAAACGAUGUCGAUUUGGAGGUUGUGCCCUUGAGGCGUGGCUUCCGGAGCUAACGCGUUAAAUCGACCGCCUGGGGAGUACGGCCGCAAGGUUAAAACUCAAAUGAAUUGACGGGGGCCCGCACAAGCGGUGGAGCAUGUGGUUUAAUUCGAUGCAACGCGAAGAACCUUACCUGGUCUUGACAUCCACAGAACUUUCCAGAGAUGGAUUGGUGCCUUCGGGAACUGUGAGACAGGUGCUGCAUGGCUGUCGUCAGCUCGUGUUGUGAAAUGUUGGGUUAAGUCCCGCAACGAGCGCAACCCUUAUCCUUUGUUGCCAGCGGUCCGGCCGGGAACUCAAAGGAGACUGCCAGUGAUAAACUGGAGGAAGGUGGGGAUGACGUCAAGUCAUCAUGGCCCUUACGACCAGGGCUACACACGUGCUACAAUGGCAUAUACAAAGAGAAGCGACCUCGCGAGAGCAAGCGGACCUCAUAAAGUAUGUCGUAGUCCGGAUUGGAGUCUGCAACUCGACUCCAUGAAGUCGGAAUCGCUAGUAAUCGUAGAUCAGAAUGCUACGGUGAAUACGUUCCCGGGCCUUGUACACACCGCCCGUCACACCAUGGGAGUGGGUUGCAAAAGAAGUAGGUAGCUUAACCUUCGGGAGGGCGCUUACCACUUUGUGAUUCAUGACUGGGGUGAAGUCGUAACAAGGUAACCGUAGGGGAACCUGCGGUUGGAUCACCU